rnacentral:rRNA from 1 species
UACGUAGGGGGCAAGCGUUAUCCGGAUUUACUGGGUGUAAAGGGAGCGUAGACGGCGGUGCAAGCCAGAUGUGAAAGCCCGGGGCUCAACCCCGGGGCUGCAUUUGGAACUGUGCUGCUAGAGUGUCGGAGAGGCAGGCGGAAUUCCUAGUGUAGCGGUGAAAUGCGUAGAUAUUAGGAGGAACACCAGUGGCGAAGGCGGCCUGCUGGACGAUGACUGACGUUGAGGCUCGAAAGCGUGGGGAGCAAACAGG